rnacentral:rRNA from 1 species
GCAAGUCGAGGGAGAAGUUAGGUGCUUGCACUUGAUGGGAACCGGCGAACGGGUGCGUAACACGUAUGCAACCUACCUAUAACUGGGGGAUAGCUCGAAGAAAUUCGGAUUAAUACAUUCUAAUAUUUAGUCAUCGCAUGAUGAUUAUCUUAAAACGCCGGUGGUUAUAGAUGAGCAUGCGGCCUAUUAGUUUGUUGGUGAGGUAAUGGUUCACCAAGACUACGAUAGGUAGGGGGUCUGAGAGGAUGAUC